rnacentral:rRNA from 1 species
UACGGGGGGGGCAAGCGGUUGUUCGGAAUUACUGGGCGUAAAGGGCUCGUAGGCGGCCAACUAAGUCAGACGUGAAAUCCCUCGGCUUAACCGGGGAACUGCGUCUGAUACUGGAUGGCUUGAGUUUGGGAGAGGGAUGGCGGAAUUCCAGGUGUAGCGGAUGAAAUGCGUAGAUAUCUGGAGGAACACCGGUGGCGAAGGCGGCAUCCUGGACCAACACUGACGCUGAGUGAGCGAAAGCCAGGGGAGCAAACGGGGAUUAGAUACCCGGAGUAAGUC